rnacentral:rRNA from 1 species
UACGAAGGGGGGCUAGCGUUGCUCGGAAUCACUGGGCGUAAAGGGUGCGUAGGCGGGUCUUUAAGUCAGGGGUGAAAUCCUGGAGCUCAACUCCAGAACUGCCUUUGAUACUGAAGAUCUUGAGUUCGGGAGAGGUGAGUGGAACUGCGAGUGUAGAGGUGAAUUCGUAGAUAUUCGCAAGAACACCAGUGGCGAAGGCGGCUCACUGGCCCGAUACUGACGCUGAGGCACGAAGCGUGGGGAGCAAACAGG